GAAGAAGCAAUUCUCUCUGAAUCUGCGAACGGCUCCGCAAACCAGUUGUAAACUAUAGCAAGCAUGCCCCCGGCUUUCGGGCUGGGGGUUAUAAGGAUAACCCUGGUAAUUCUGAGGCUAAUACUUGAUUGUAUAACCUGACUGACCGGCAACGGGAGGUUGGGGGAUGUGUGACAUCUGCGCAGAAUACGCCGGGAAAGGACGCACGUUCAGACCACCACAACAAACGGUGGCAGGGGGAACCACGCAAGUGGGGAAGCCUGUCUCCGGGUGGCUCUUGCUUUGUGCUUCUGACCUAUCAACUAGAUGGCAGUGUAAGGGACAUGCUAUGGUUACAACGGGUACAGAGGAUAAGGGUUCGAUCCUGGAGAGUGGGCCUGAGAGAUUGCUCACACUUCUAAGGAAGGCAGCAGGCGCGCAACGUUCCCAUUGGGCAAUGCCCGAGGGCGUUAGGGGACAUAUGAAUGCCUGUCUUAUGAUGGGCAAUCAAAUGGGUUUGUUGUAAACAGCCCUUCGAGUAACAAUUAGAGGACAAGUCUGGUGCCAGCACCCGCGGUAAUUCCAGCUCUAAUAGCAUACGUUAAAGUUGUUGCGGUUAAAACGCUCGUAGUCGGCUUCAGAUCUUCAGAGCCUUCGGCCGGGAAUCGGACCUGUUACUCUCCGGAGUGCACCCGAGGUACUGGCUGGGGGGGACGUCGAUCAACUGUGUCUCGUGCUGUCUCUCCGGAGUCACAGGGCGUCUGGUUCGCCAGGCGUUCGGCGCGGGACGCCAUUCACUAUGAUUAAACUGGAGUGAUCAAAGCAUGUCUUUGGACACGUACAGCGCAGCAUAGUAUGGCACUUCGCCUUUUCGACCCUAUCUGCGGGGGUCGGGGGGGCAGAAGCGAAAGGGGUGUUCGAGGGUGACCGAAUUGCCGGGCGAGUGGUGAAAUACGUUGACCCUGGCAAGUCGACCAAUGGCGAAAGCAGUCAUCAAGGGCACGCCCGUUGAUCAAGAGCGAAAGUUAAGGGUUCGAAGACGAUCAGAUACCGUCGUAGUCUUAACUAUAAAUGAUGCUAACCAGGGAUAGGACACUGUCCAUCUCGACUCCUCCUGCACCUUAGAGAAAUUACAGUCUUUGAGUUCUGGGGGGAGUAUGGUCGCAAGGCUGAAACUUAAAGGAAUUGACGGAAGGGCACACAAAGAGUGGAACCUGCGGCUUAAUUUGACUCAACACGGGAAAACUCACCAGGUCCAGAUACACGCAUGAAAGUCAAGCUGAAAGACUUUACUCAAUGAUGUAAGUGGUGGUGCAUGGUCGUUCUUAGUUCGUGGAUUGAUUUGUCUGGUCGAUUCCGAUAACGAGCGAAACCCCGGUGUUCCUAAUAGGGGCGGAAGCCCGCUGGCCGCAAGGUCAGCAGCUACCGCCUAAGAUGUACUUCUUAAACACAUCAGGGCCGAUAAGGUCCUUGAAAUGGGUUAAUAACAGGUCAGUCAUGCCCUUAAAUGUUCUGGGCCGCACGCGCGUUACAAUGGCACGUAUAGAAAGUGCCUCCAAAGGCGUUUCCCGGGCCUGACGGUCCGGGUAACCCUUAAUCCCUGCUUUGACUGGGAUAGAUCAUUGCAAUUAUUGGUCUCUAACGAGGAAUUUUUAGUAAGCGCAGGUC
rnacentral:rRNA from 1 species